ACGGGAGGCAGCAGUGGGGAAUAUUGCACAAUGGGGGAAACCCUGAUGCAGCGACGCCGCGUGAGUGAAGAAGUAUUUCGGUAUGUAAAGCUCUAUCAGCAGGGAAGAAAAUGACGGUACCUGACUAAGAAGCACCGGCUAAAUACGUGCCAGCAGCCGCGGUAAUACGUAUGGUGCAAGCGUUAUCCGGAUUUACUGGGUGUAAAGGGAGCGCAGGCGGUACGGCAAGUCUGAUGUGAAAGCCCGGGGCUCAACCCCGGUACUGCAUUGGAAACUGUCGAACUAGAGUGUCGGAGGGGUAAGCGGAAUUCCUAGUGUAGCGGUGAAAUGCGUAGAUAUUAGGAGGAACACCAGUGGCGAAGGCGGCUUACUGGACGAUAACUGACGCUGAGGCUCGAAAGCGUGGGGAGCGAACAGGAUUAGAUACCCUGGUA
rnacentral:rRNA from 1 species